rnacentral:rRNA from 1 species
AUGUUGCGAUUUUCUUCACUUUCCCAUUUUGCCCUCCCGCUCGCUCUCUCCCCGGCCGCUUGCAGCUCUCACUCUCUCCCUGACCACUCGCUCUCUCUCCCCGACAGCUCUCGCUGUCUCCGACCCCGACCGCUCGCCCUCUCGUCGGCCAGUCGCUCGCCGACCAGUCGCCACCCUCUCCCUCUCGUCGGUGUCUUCCUCACCGCAUUGGGGUGCUCGAUUCGUGGUGGCGGUGCUCGAUCCGUGGGCGGCGGUACUCGAUCCGUGCUGGAGCAGCGGGAGGAGGAGGCCAAGGUGGAGAUCGUGGUGCGGGAGGGGGAGCUCGGCGAGACGGCGGCUGGAUCUGAAGCGCGGAUGCUCCACCUUCCUCAGGGUGGCGGGGAUCUCCGACUCGCUGCAGAGGAGAAGGGCCCGACCGCUGGCGUCAUCCGCCGCUUCCUCAGGGUGGCGGACAUGCACUACGCGGACGGGCGGAGCACCGCGUGCGAGGACGUGAUGCCCGAGCAGGUCGCCGGCUGCUCCGACCUCAACAUCACCGCCUUCCUCUACCGCGUCAUCCGCGCCGAGGACCCCGACCUCGUCAUCUUCACGGGUCCGGCCCCCACCCACCCCCUUCCUCUUCCCUGCUCUGUUACUGUCCUGUUUUCGUCGUCUUGUUUCACGGGCGAUCUUGGUGAUGUUUCCAAGGCUGCAAAUCUUGGUGAUGUUUCAGUUAUCAUCUGGAUUUUUUGUGUUUCUGCACCUUUUUCCUCGUGUCUGUACAGUGAUUUGAUGAACACAUAUGGGCUUUUGGCUCUGCUCGAAGUGAUUCUGAAUUUUGUUUGGGCGCUGGGCUGCGGCUUCAUCGAGGCGGACGACAACCACUCCCGUGCAAAUAAAGGUACAGGCUGGUCCUGGUGGGCGACGAGGACGCCCUGGCCUCUGUAG